UUCCUCCUGCAUUCAGACCAAAGGAAACUGACAUUGAUAUAUAGCAAUCAUCUGAGACAGCAAAAUCACUGUACUUCUUUACUGCUCACAUAAGCUCCUAUACUACUCAUCCAGGCUACUUACAUGGUGGUAACAUGGUGGUACAUUUGACAAAAUACCCAAAAUCUAUACUAAAACACCAAUGUUCAAAUAUCUCAUAGACAACUCCAUUACAGAUUUUAUACCUGUGUGUGUAUGUAUUUAUGUGGCUGUACUGAGCUAGAGCUACCUAGGCUCCCUCCUUUCACUCUCAGGAGCCAUUUUCAUUUGAGAAAUGCCAUUAAUAGCACGGCGUCAUGCUCACUUUCCUUUAAUAAGGGUAACUAAGUAGGUGUCGUCUUCUGGGGCAAACACCAAUAAAACUCUGUGAAUAAUUUAGUGAAGUAUGCUUAUAAAGUACACAGUACUCCAGUGUCAACAGAAACAGUUGUUCCCUCUCUGUAAAUAUUCACCUAACUCAUGUAUUCAUGACAUGGGGAUUGAUGAACCAAAUGCAUCCCAUCUAGAAAGAUUCCUACAAGCAUCAAGAGCAGGACCUACACCUUGAAAAGGGCAUGACAGAAGAAAAAUAACAGUAAUCUACACGUCUGCAAGCACUCAGAAACACGACAUGGUUAAAUUUCUCUGCAGCUAUGACUUCUAACCAGAACUUUUUUUUCCUACAACUUUUAAGUCAGCUUCAAAUUGAACUAGGUUUUUAACCCUUACAUGCUUGUAAGCAUAGAACAAUUAAGCAGUUGUGUACGCUGCUUCUAUACAGUAAUUAAAAAAAAUCUUUGUUGCCUUGCUUUCUAAGUGUAUCACUGUCAUUUGCCUCUCUGUCUGGACAACGUUCUAAGUGAAUUAUUUUCAUUUUCCUUUCCUGAAAUCUAAUUAGAAUUUGAAAAUAGUCAAGGCUGUAAAUCUCUGUGUUCUCUUCUUUUUCAGGCACAUACUCAGUUUCACUAUAGUUCUCAAGGCAUUCCAAGCUGUAUUUUACUGAAGUUUAUAAUAGUAAUUUAUAGAUCAAAUAACAUUGUGAGUAUAAACCACACAAGGUCCUAACCCCCAAAAAAUGAACAACUGAAAAGGACAGAUUUUUUUUCAGAACUUCUGUUGAAUUUGAGGGGUUUCUGCACACAAACUGUUUAGGGGAGCAGGCCCUGACUAGAACACCCUGUGGCAGAAGGGAAGCAACAUCAAAGGCACAGCGGGAAAAAGCAAAGUAGGACACUGCCUCUGGCAGCAGAAAGCCACAGCCUCACUCCUUCUGUGACCGCAGCUAGAACAGUGGAAAGCUCUGGAAGGAGUAUUACCUAGGAAGACAGAGUUCCUGGUAGUUCUAAAGAAUCACUGCUUCCAGCUGUUUCAGAGGACGUCAUUGACAAAGCCCUCAGAACAGUUAGCGUGAGGAUUUUUGCUUCCGUAUUCUCCGCUGCGUCGCAUACAAUCAUUACCUCUGCUACAGCUCCUGCUUCUGAUACUUCUGUGCUUUGGGGAAUUGUGUGUGCCUGACUUCUCUGCCACACACGGACUUCCUAUGACUUAGUAUCUUCUUGCACUAAAAUGGGGAGGAAACAAUCAUCCAAGUUCAUCAUUGUGUUGAGGUAGAAGUCUUAAAAAUUAGCCUCUAUAACCUAUUAGGAAUCAUAAUGUUUAUGAGUUGUUUACACUUAAAUAAUACUUAACAGUAUGCAACUAAAUUAAGCAGUGCUAAGACAUACUAAUCCAUUAAAAUAUUUCUGUAGUCUGUAGGAAGCAGCAGGUUUAUUUACAGAAAGAAUUGCAACAUGAGAUUCAAUAGUUUUUAUCUCAGAAUUUACUGUAAUACUGCCAUAUGUUUUCUGAAGGUUUAAGAGAAGGUUUUCUAAAGGUUUAUUACUGUUCAAAUGUAAUCAGAUACCACAGUUUGUUUCCAGUAAUGUACUGCAUUUUCUCCAUGAUUAACAUCAUUUAAAAGAAGUGCAAUUGUAUUUAUGUUCAAUGUCAAAAAUGUGCUUUACAAUAUUAAAAAAUAAUUGUUUCUUAAGUCUCUAGAUGCCGGAUAUUGAUAGUAUUUUUCUAUUAUUUUUAGCUUUCCAUUCAUAUUAUAAAAAUAUCAUUUCAUCAUAUUUUUCAAUACUUAGAUCACAAAUCAGAUCACAAAGUUAAGUUAUGCUUUAAAAUAGGAAAAAAUCUUAACUGGCCUAGUAACCCUGUAAGCAGAGGAUGUAGCAGCACAUAAAACUUUACAACAGAGUAUUUUAUGACUGAAAUAAAAGUCUUUUUGAACUCU